AGAGUUUGAUCCUGGCUCAGGAUGAACGCUGGCGGCGUGCCUAACACAUGCAAGUCGAACGAAGCACUUUCAGGGAAUCUUCGGAGGAACAGGAAGUGACUGAGUGGCGGACGGGUGAGUAACGCGUGGGUAACCUGCCCUGUACAGGGGGAUAACAGCCGGAAACGGCUGCUAAUACCGCAUAAGCGCACAGGAGGACAUCCUCCGGUGUGAAAAACUCCGGUGGUACAGGAUGGGCCCGCGUCUGAUUAGCUGGUUGGCGGGGUAAGAGCCCACCAAGGCGACGAUCAGUAGCCGGUCUGAGAGGAUGAACGGCCACAUUGGAACUGAGACACGGUCCAAACUCCUACGGGAGGCAGCAGUGGGGAAUAUUGCACAAUGGGGGGAACCCUGAUGCAGCAACGCCGCGUGAGUGAAGAAGUAUUUCGGUAUGUAAAGCUCUAUCAGCAGGGAAGAAGAGAUGACGGUACCUGACCAAGAAGCUCCGGCUAAAUACGUGCCAGCAGCCGCGGUAAUACGUAUGGAGCAAGCGUUAUCCGGAUUUACUGGGUGUAAAGGGUGCGUAGGUGGCGGUGCAAGUCAGAUGUGAAAUGCCCGGGGCUCAACCCCGGAGCUGCAUUUGAAACUGCAUGGCUCGAGUACAGGAGAGGCAGGCGGAAUUCCUAGUGUAGCCGGUGAAAUGCGAAAAUAUUAGGAAGGACCCCCAGUGGCGAAAGGCGGCCUUGUUGGACUGAAAACUGAACAUUGAGGGACGAAAAGCCGGGGGGAACCAAAACGGGAUUA
rnacentral:rRNA from 1 species